UACGUAGGGACCAAGCGUUGUUCGGAUUUACUGGGCGUAAAGGGCGCGUAGGCGGCCCGUCAAGUCCCGUGUGAAAGCCCCCGGCUCAACCGGGGAACGGCGCGGGAAACUAGCAGGCUUGAGUUCGGGAGAGGGAAGCGGAAUUCCGGGUGUAGCGGUGAAAUGCGCAGAUAUCCGGAGGAACACCGGUGGCGAAGGCGGCUUCCUGGACCGACACUGACGCCGAGACGCGAAAGCGUGGGGAGCGAACAGG
rnacentral:rRNA from 1 species